rnacentral:rRNA from 1 species
UACAGAGGUCUCAAGCGUUGUUCGGAUUCAUUGGGCGUAAAGGGUGCGUAGGUGGCGGGGUAAGUCAGGUGUGAAAUCUCGGAGCUCAACUCCGAAACUGCACUUGAUACUGCCUUGCUCGAGUACUGGAGAGGAGAUUGGAAUUUACGGUGUAGCAGUGAAAUGCGUAGAUAUCAGGAAGAACACCCGUGGCGAAGGCGGCUCUCUGGGACGGUACUGACGCUGAGACGCGAAAGCGUGGGGAGCGAACAGG